rnacentral:ncRNA from 23 species
AUGAUUUCAGUGGGAGAGAUCCGGUAAAACCGGACGCCGAAGGAGAAAACUUCUUAGAUCGCUCAUUUAGGAAGGGAAACUCUCAGGCAAAUGUACUGCUGAAAGACG